AAAGGCGUAGGUGAUGGACAACAGGUUGAUAUUCCUGUACCGCCAAUAAGCGUUUGAGAGAUGGAGUGACACAGUAGGAUAAGCUAACCGUACUGUUGGUUAUGUACGGCUAAGCAUUGAGGCAGUCUAAAUAGGCAAAUCCGUUUAGACAAUGCUAGGAUGUGAUGGGGAAGCCCUUCGGGGCGAAGUAGCUGAUUUCACACUGUCAAGAAAAGCUUCUAUCGAGUUUAAAGGCGCCCGUACCGUAAACCGACACAGGUGGGUGAGGAGAGUAUCCUAAGGCCAGCGAGAGAACUAUUGUUAAGGAACUCGGCAAAAUGACCCCGUAACUUAGGGAGAAGGGGUGCCUUCGAAAGAAGGCCGCAGAGAAUAGGCCCAAGCGACUGUUUACCAAAAACACAGGUUUCUGCUAAGUCGCAAGACGAUGUAUAGGAGCUGACGCCUGCCCGGUGCUGGAAGGUUAAGGGGAUCUGUUAGAGCAAUCGAAGCAGUGAACUUAAGCCCCAGUAAACGGCGGCCGUAACUAUAACGGUCCUAAGGUAGCGAAAUUCCUUGUCGGGUAAGUUCCGACCCGCACGAAAGGCGUAACGAUUUGGGCACUGUCUCAACAAUAGACUCGGUGAAAUUGUAAUCCCGGUGAAGAUGCCGGGUACCUGCGACAGGACGGAAAGACCCCAUGGAGCUUUACUGUAGCUUGACGUUGGGUCUUGGUACUACAUGUACAGGAUAGGUGGGAGACUAUGAAGCAUGGACGCCAGUCUGUGUGGAGUCAUCCUUGGGAUACCACCCUUGUAGUACUGGGAUCCUAACCAUAGGCCUUGAAUCAGGUCUUGGAACACCGUCAGGUGGGCAGUUUGACUGGGGCGGUCGCCUCCUAAAAAGUAACGGAGGCGCUCAAAGGUUUCCUCAGCACGGUCGGAAAUCGUGCGAAGAGUGUAAAGGCAAAAGGAAGCUUGAUUGCAAGACAUACAGGUCGAGCAAGGACGAAAGUCGGACUUAGUGAUCCGGUGGUACCGC
rnacentral:rRNA from 1 species